GCAGCGGCAGUUCUGCCUCGGAGCUGACUCCAGGGCCCCGUGUGGUCUCCGGACAGCUGCGGGAAGGCUGCUGCAGCUAGAGCUGACGAGGCGGCUAUGUGCAGUUUGUCAGGGGAUUGGGUUGAAAACUGGCCAGUCGGGAUGACUGGGUGAAAGAGGAGUAGCUCCUGCCACUGGCAUUUUGAGUGUUGGCAAUUUGGGAUGCCUCCUGGGGAUGGUCUGGGGGCCUUUGGUGAGUCUCUAAGCAAUUGUGUUUGUUUUCAGAUUUUUCCUUGCUUUUGUGUUUCUCUAUUGGUUUUUGAUGUUGUAAAAGCAAUGAAUCCUCUUUACAAGAAAAUCGAAAACAUAGAAGAAUGAAGGACAUGCCAGCCCCCGAUCGCUGCUGUGAGCACCUCAGCGGCUCCCUCCAACCAGAUACCGUAGGCAGCCCCACAGACUGACCCUGACCCCACUCACCGCCACCCUGACGAUAGACUAUAGGAACGGGCCCAUACCACACAGACUGCUCUCCAGUCCCCGAGUCUCAGAUGUUUCAUUAUUUCCUACUUUUCCACUACUAAAAAACAGUGUGGAACAGACAUUAUUGGCAAAAUUGAUCAUCCCCAAUCCUGAAAAACAGGCCUGAAUGGGUAAAGACUUGUCAAAGCUUGCAACAUAGCUACAUGGUGCACCCGAACCUGUACCCACCCAUCCCCCAACACAAAACGAGUGUCCGGAAAGUUCAUUUGCCUUUAAACUGAUCCAGCUGGCCCUAAACCAAUUGUUUUUGACUGAGUAUCUAGGAGAGCAGUAAGUGGAACUUCAGACAACAAGCCCACUGGGUCUGGUCCAGGUGACGGGCAGGAGGCAUGGGGCUGGGAGGUCUCAGGGGCCUUGCCUGGGGGUGGCCAGCCUGGUAGGGGGCAGAGAAGGAAAAGCUGAGGGGGGUUCCAGUGAGGGAGGAAAGAAGGAUCAUUUGCCCUGCUGGGUAUCAAAGGCAAUGAGAAGAGAGCCGAAGAAAGCUCUGGCUGGCUGACAGGCCCCCUGUGUUGUAAUUGGUCCCUCCUUUCAGCUCUCUGGUGAGAUUCCCGUGUCUGUGUGUGUGCGCGUGUGUUUCAUAGAGCUAGCAUUAGACGGGUGAUGUUUCUUACUUAUCAUCCCUAACUAUUGUAACUUGACCUUAACAAGACAACCCCCCCCCACAAAACUCUUCCUGCCACGGGCUUGCAGAUUGAAGCACUUUCGAUGUUGGGCGCUGGCGUUUGUGUUCUGGGCACCAUCGUGACCCUGCCCAGAUGGCUAUAAUAUUAUUUUAUACACAAACAUGUUUUUCAUAAAUGUUAUAAUUUUGUGUCUGUCUUUAUAAACUAUUAUAAGUACUAUUUUUGUUAUAAUUCAAAAUAGAUAUUUAGUAUAAAGUUUUUGCUGUUAAAUAUUUGUUAUUUAGUAAAAUAUGAAUUUUGCUCUAUUGUAAACAUGGUUCAAAAUAUUAAUAUGUUUUUAUCACAGUCGUUUUAAUAUUGAAAAAGCACUUGUGUGUUUUGUUUUGAUAUGAAACUGGUACCGUGUGAGUGUUUUUGCUGUCGUGGUUUUAAUCUGUAUAUAAUAUUCCAUGUUGCAUAUUAAAAAAAUGAAUGUUGUGCAUUUUGUGAUUUUGGAAAUACUCAAUGUGGCUCUUUUAUAGGCUUCUAUAAUAAACCAUGGGGACUUGC
rnacentral:lncRNA from 1 species